rnacentral:lncRNA from 1 species
CUGCUCCUUGGCCACUCUUGCUUUAUUACUGGCCUUGGGACAUCGUCAGAAUGGACAUAUUUUGACAUCCUCGGUACUUUGAAGAUGUUUCCACUUCCCUUCGAAGAUGUUCAAUGUCCGUACAUAGAAUGAAAGGUGCCACCUUCUCCAGCAUGAGACAUAUCCCCAUGUGAUCCCUUACCACGCAGACUCCUGGCUGAGUUAGGAAGAAAGAAUAGAAGUCAAUGCAUUCCAUUUGUUUUCAAGGCACACCCAAAAAGACUCAGAAAACGAUGGAUGGCAAGUACUCCCCCUUUCCAAAGUGAGGUGCUGACCACUGGUAAUGCAGUAAAUCUUGAGGGUAUCAAAGGAUUGAAAUGGAAGAGCCCUGAAAAUUGGACAUUAAAAAGGCAUUAAUUUCAAGAGCAUUUUCUCUGUCCUGUAAUUUCC